CGGGGUGCAGCAGGCGCGAAACCUCUGCAAUAGGCGAAAGCCUGACAGGGUUACUCUGAGUGACUUUCGCUAAGAAAGUCUUUUGGCACCUCUAAAAAGGGUGCAGAAUAAGGGGUGGGCAAGUCUGGUGUCAGCCGCCGCGGUAAUACCAGCACCCCGAGUGGUCGGGACGAUUAUUGGGCCUAAAGCAUCCGUAGCCGGUUCUGCAAGUCCCCCGUUAAAUCCAGCUGCUCAACAGAUGGGCCGCGGAGGAUACUACAGAGCUAGGAGGCAGGAGAGGCAAGCGGUACUCAGUGGGUAGGGGUAAAAUCCGUUGAUCCAUUGAAGACCACCAGUGGCGAAGGCGGCUUGCCAGAAUGCGCUCGACGGUGAGGGAUGAAAGCUGGGGGAGCAAACCGGAUUAGAUACCCGGGUAGUCCCAGCCGUAAACGAUGCAGACUCGGUGAUGGGCCGGCUUUAUGCCGGCUCAGUGCCGCAGGGAAGCCGUUAAGUCUGCCGCCUGGGGAGUACGGUCGCAAGACUGAAACUUAAAGGAAUUGGCGGGGGAGCAC
rnacentral:rRNA from 1 species